UUCAACCAAAUGGCACAGUUACAUUUUAACACAGCCUCCUGGAUAGGCGCCGAUGUCCACUGCAUCUCUGGUAGGAGAAUCUGGGGUGUCUAAAUGUGGGGAUAGUCCAUCCUCCCCUCCUGCCCCUCCCAGGCCUAAGAUGCGUGGUGCAUGGACAGCUCUCCUGGGAAGCUGUUUCCUCUGUGUAUCACAGAGCAAAGCCAGACCUCAAAACUUCAUUGAAAUUAAGCAAUACAUACUCCCCUAUCUCUACAGAAACCUCAUGAAAAUGGUGCUGAAUAAUUGGUUUUAAACAAGUAUCGUCUUGAAGCAGGUCUAGUAUGUCUAGAGAGAAGGCUGUGAACCUGAAACCAGUGGGCAGUGACUUUUUUUUCAACUAAAGAAAAAGCUGGUGAUAAAUAUUAACAAUAUAAAAAAUGUUCCAGAAACCAGGCCAGCAAAACCUAAGCAGGAAUGUCAUGGACGGCUUCUUAUAAAUGCUUCGUGUUGUUGUUAAUCCCAGUUUUAAUUUCUAGCCUUAUUAAAGACUUAAGGCUUUAUCUCCGUUUCUUUCCCCUGGAAAACCAGAUGCACAUAAUGAUCUUUAUUUCUGUCAUUUUCUCAGUGGUCACAGGGUCUAUGCUGCUUAAUCUUUUUUAUUUCCACGUGGAUUAAUGAGGGCUGUGUGGCUCUGUCUUUGUCCCCUGAUGAGUCCCAGGGACAAGCAUCUGUGGGAUUCAACAUUGCUUCUCAGAGCAAGAUUUUCACCGUGUAGAUAAAUGCCGCAGUGGAGGGGGCUCAUAAACGAGCUCUCGAGGCAGUUUUGUUAGGCUCCAAAAAAGGCUUUCACGAGGUCAAUGCCGGUGGCAUAAGUACCUGCUGGGCUUCCCAGGACAGCAGCUGACAGCACAGGCUUGGCAGACACCCCUGAGAGAGUCUUCGGCACAUAUGAUGUCCUCUAUUGAUGUUUGCUGAAUAGAUGAGGAUGCCAAAAGAGGGAGGAGAUACCAAAAGAGGGAAAGAAGGACACCCAGAAGACAAAUGGUGCUCACCUUGAGCCUCGAGGUCUUUAGGAAAACGGUGACUCUGGAGCACAGCCCUGGAUCCCUGAUGGCAGGUGGAUGAAUCUGCUCCCCACCUGGAUGCUGCUAGUCCUUUCUCCAGGCUCCGUGACUGAAAAUGUGCUUUACUUGGCAAAAGCUGUUUCUCCUCAGAACUCUAGAAAUCAGAUCUUGGCCCACCUCUUUCAGAGAUUCUUCAGGCCUGACCUCCACUUUAAUUUACUUGAAGAGCAUCGAAUAUGAAUCUGCAGAAUUUCAGUGAAACUAUAGAGGAAGAAUGGAGGAGGUGGAGCUGAGGCAGUAAUGCGAGUGAUGGGGAGCAGCUGUAAAUACAGAUGAAGCUUGGCUCGCUUGCCUGCUGCUCAGCUCCUGCUGUGCGGGCUGGUUCCUAACGAGCAAGAAGAAACCUGGAGGACACUUUGGUUUCAUCAAGCAACACUUGCCACCAGGAAGGCGUUGAGUGCCAAUUCCACACCCAAUACCCCCAGGUAGAGGAAGUCUUGGGCCUUGGGGUUUGCAGUCUAGUUUCCUGGUAGUGUCUGUCAUGGGGCUGAAGACCAAGCUUCGUCUUCAUGCUAGACUUUGCCCAUUUGGAUAUUUCAUAUCUUGAGAGGCAAAGAGAGCUUCUGCAAUGUUUGAGGCCAAAAUUCAAAGCAGAGCCAGGCCCAGGAAUCCCAUCAAGCAAGGCCUGUUGCCCAUUCUGCUACGAUUCAGAUAACUUUUGAGAAUAUAAAUGGCUCCCUGGGCCACUGUCUUAAUCUUUCUAUACCUUGGUGAGGCUUCUGUUAAUGGUAGAAUCUAGAUGAAGGAUAGUUUGGGCCACUUCGUAAAUGUGGGUAGUGAUCUUAUUCAGAUUAGAUGAUUUUGUUCAGAUUAGGAUGCCAAAAGUCUGGAACAAGGCAAGACCAGAAAGUCUGGUUAGGCAAGAGGCAAAUGGUUUAAAACAGAGACCUUCACAAUUUGGCAAGCUUUUAAAUUACUUGGAGUAUGCAAAAUACAGUUGCCUGGACCUUACCCGAGACCCACGGGAAAACAACAACAACAACAACAGGGCAGGUUCCAUGGAUCUGUGCCGGGCUAUUCCCCCAGAGAAAUCAGGGAAAAUUAUAGAUGUCCAUAAUUCCAGACAGAAUUAUAGGUCCCUGAGCUUGGUUUGCUGAGAUAACAUGUUGCUUUUCUCUCUCUCUCUCUUUUUCUCUCUCUCAAUGUCUCUCCCUUUUCAAAAGUAGAUGUCACCUUUCUGAUCCAAUGCUUGAUUGCUAGCUGGGCUGAACCAGAAGCAUCACGUCUAGUUAGUCUAGAUGUGGAUGCAAUUCAGUAAUCAUAAACAUUAGAGCUAGAAUAUUGUAGGUAAUUGAUGUAACCAAAUGAAGAACCAGAGACCCAGAGAUGAAAAGUUCCUUGCCCAGAUCUGCAAACUCACAUCCAGGUUGCUCCCUGCCUACCCUCAUCUCUUACAAGCCAGCAUCCUUUUACAGCAGACUGUGGGCCCCAAAGCACAGCUGUGGACAAGAGGGCACUGUACAUUCACCCCAAGGUCUCAAGGCCACCAGGGGCUUGGUCAGCGUUUGUGGUUGUGGCACUUCGCAUUUGCCUCUUUGAGGGCUCCCAAAAACCCACUUCCUGGCCGGGCAUGGUGGCUCACGCCUGUAAUCCCAGCACUUUGGGAGGC
rnacentral:lncRNA from 1 species